rnacentral:rRNA from 1 species
CACGUAGGGGGCAAGCGUUGUCCGGAUUUAUUGGGCGUAAAGAGCUCGUAGGCGGCUUAGUAAGUCGGGUGUGAAACCUCCAGGCUCAACCUGGAGACGCCACCCGAUACUGCUGUGGCUAGAGUCCGGUAGGGGAGCGUGGAAUUCCUGGUGUAGCGGUGAAAUGCGCAGAUAUCAGGAGGAACACCGAUGGCGAAGGCAGGUCUCUGGGCCAUUACUGACACUGAGAAGCGAAAGCAUGGGGAGCGAACAGG